rnacentral:snoRNA from 1 species
UCUUGUUUGUUGUAAUGGUGAUCGUCCUUGCUGACCAAUCUGAUAUAUCACCACCCAUAUUCUGG